UACGUAGGGGGCAAGCGUUGUCCGGAUUUAUUGGGCGUAAAGGGCGCGUAGGCGGAAUGGCAAGUCGGUCGUGAAAUCCUUCGGCUCAACCGAAGAACGUCGAUCGAAACUGCCGUUCUUGAGGAUUGCAGAGGAGACUGGAAUUCCCGGUGUAGCGGUGAAAUGUGUAGAGAUCGGGAGGAACACCGAUGGCGAAGGCAGCCCCCUGGGUCAAAACUGACGCUCAUGCACGAAAGCGUGGGGGGCAAACAGG
rnacentral:rRNA from 1 species